rnacentral:rRNA from 1 species
UACGUAGGUGACAAGCGUUGUCCGGAUUUACUGGGCGUAAAGAGUGCGCAGGCGGUCGUUCAAGUCGAGUGUGAAAGCCCCCGGCUCAACUGGGGAGGGUCAUUCGAUACUGAUCGACUCGAAGGCAGGAGAGGGUAGUGGAAUUCCCGGUGUAGUGGUGAAAUGCGUAGAUAUCGGGAGGAACACCAGUGGCGAAGGCGACUACCUGGCCUGUUCUUGACGCUGAGGCGCGAAAGCUAGGGGAGCAAACGGG